UGAGGGGAAAAAAUAUUUAAAUCCAUUUUAGAAUAGGGCUGUAAUGUAACAAAACAUGGAAAAGGUCUAGGUGUCUGAAUACUCUCCGAAGGCGCUGUAGAUUAGUAGAAGGUGCAUUUCUUAGGUCUAGGUGUCUGAAUACUCUCCGAAGGCGCUAUAGAUUAGUAGAAGGUGCAUUUCUUAGGUCUUGGUGUCUGAAUACUCUCCGAAGGCGCUGUAGAUUAGUAGAAGGUGCAUUUCUUAGGUCUAGGUGUCUGAAUACUCUCCGAAGGCGCUAUAGAUUAGUAGAAGGUGCAUUUCUUAGGUCUUGGUGUCUGAAUACUCUCAGAAGGCGCUGUAGAUUAGUAGAAUGUGCAUUUCUUAAUUCUAACCUUGAAACCUCUUGAAUUGAAUCAUUGAGUUCAUUUGAGUACUAGUCUUCCAAGUUAAAGGAGUAUACAAAUGUGAUGACGUUGUUCGGGAUAACAGUGAUAAGAUGUUGACAUGAAAAACAUUCACAAGCACGUGAAUGUUCACAUCAGUAUUAUUCCACCAAGGUCAGAGAACUAAAAUAAUGUUCAUUAAUGCAACAUAUUAUCUGAAAAAUGAAAUGAUUUUUUUUGUGACAGUGUUAGCCAUUAUUUGUUUUAACUGUGUUCAUUAUAUACAUCUAUGUACUGUUACUGGACUCCAUAAAAACACCAUGCAGCUACGACUGGAAGUCACUUUUUCAUAGCAGGGGCCUCAUUUAUAUAUAUUUUUUAAUCUUAAGAUUUAUACAUGAACUUAGUCGUAAGAUCAUUUCCCGAUUCGAUUCAUAACAGAUACUGAGCAUAAGAACGUUGCUUAUGCAGGUUCUAAGAAGCCCAUUGGUAACUUAACGCACCUGUGAUCUAUAAAUCUCAAAUUAAUUUAGAAUUGGUGGCACCUGAACGUGCCUUACAAAUCAGCGAUUUCCCCGUAUAGAAUGCGGGUUUAGUAUUGGUAACUUAACGCACCUGUGAUCUAUAAAUCUCAAAUUAAUUUAGAAUUGGUGGCACCUGAACGUGCCUUACAAAUCAGCGAUUUCCCCUUAUAAAAUGCUAGUACAAAUGAUGGUUUAGUCAGGAAUAGCCCAAAAAGGACCAAAAGAGAAAAGCAAACUUUUUUUGUAAGACGAGAUCACAGCGAUGGUAGAAGAUAUUGAAGACAGGAAACACGUAUUAUUAGGUGGACUCAGGGGCGCCGCCAGGGAUUUUGGGCACCAUGAAAAGAUAUCACAUUGGACCCCCACCACCACAGGCCACGCCAACCCUGCGCAAUAGCUGUAACCACACACCUUCAGAACCCAAUCGACCCAAAGCUUUAAAUAUCUCUACCUGAUGGUGGCGCUAGAAGAGGUCAAGUGGUCACCAAAUCAAUAGGUUUUUUCCACUUGGGGACUUGAUUGUGCACGGAAACGGUGAAGUCUGUGCAUGAAACCCCCCACGAGUGGAUCACACUGCGUUGCAGCUAGUGCGCCCUCCACCCAGGGAUAAAGUGCGUGAGGCUCUCAAAUCAGCAGGUGCAAGGAGUGAGGGGGGAAGGUUUGGCCACAGGUGUCGAGGGUCCGUCCACGUCUGCAUCGCUGCGCAGGGAUGAAGUUCGUAAGACCCCGGUUCCCAAGCGUUGCAGACCCACAGGUGCCAGGAGUGAGGGGGAAUGUUUGGCCACAGGUGUCGAGGGUCCGUCCACAGUUCGCGUGUUGACCGCCUCGGUCCUGCAAACCCAGAACGAGUUGAACACAUUGGUAUGGGCAGAUUGUGGACUGAACUUGGAUGAAUACGCAGGGGUUUUGAUUCAAUUUUGAUUCAAUUUACAUAAUGCAAUUGUUGAACGUUUUCCACAACGUGAAUAAAAACAACUAUGCGUUUA